rnacentral:rRNA from 1 species
AUUGAACGCUGGCGGCAGGCCUAACACAUGCAAGUCGAGCGGAUGAGGGUAGCUUGCUACCUGAUUCAGCGGCGGACGGGUGAGUAAUGCCUAGGAAUCUGCCUAUUAGUGGGGGACAACGUUUCGAAAGGAACGCUAAUACCGCAUACGUCAUACGGGAGAAAGCGGGGGACCUUCGGGCCUUGCGCUAAUAGAUGGGCCUAGGUCGGAUUAGCUAGUUGGGGGGGUAAAGGCUCACCAAGGCGACGAUCCGUAACUGGUCUGAGAGGAUGAUCAGUAACACUGGAUCUGAGACACGGUCCAGACUCCUAAGGGAGGAAGCAGUGGGAAAUAUUGGACAAUGGGCGAAAGCCUGAGCCAGCCAUGCCGCGUGUGUGAAGAAGGUCUUCGGAUUGUAAAGCACUUUAAGUUGGGAGGAAGGGCAGUAAGUUAAUACCUUGCUGUUUUGACGUUACCGACAGAAUAAGCACCGGCUAACUCUGUGCCAGCCGCCGCCGUAAAAC